UUUAUAAUUCGACUCUUGUGUGUUUGUGUGUGUGGAGUGUGGUCGAAAGUUAAUGCCAGCAGCCAGGUGUGAUUAUGUCUGCGUACAUUGCACAGGGUGAGGCAUCGCAUGUCGCGUGUCGAGUGCUUUCUGGGAAGUACACCCAAAAGAAUAUUCAACUGAGAGUAAGGCAGUCCCACACACACACGCACACACCCAAGCACACAGACACACACAGGAGCGCUUAAAUAAGAAAGAGCUAAAGAAAAUUUAUAAAUUGUUCUUGUGGAUGGACUAAACUUGCUUAAAUCCAAAACUAAACUAAACUCGAAAAUCGAAUUAAAUGUGUACAAAAAGUUAAACGAUUAAAUGGAUUAACUAAUCAAGUCGAUAAAUAAACACACACACACACACACUCACUCAAUCGCAGAACACUAAACGAGAGCUAAAUAAUGACAGCUUCCACAGAGAGGAGCAGAUAACUGUUUUGCGUUGGCAUUCGUUUAUAUGUAUGUAUGUUUGUAUGUAUGUGUCUUCUAAGUGUUUAGCGAGGAAUAUAUUCCUAACCAAAAACAAAACAAAAAAAAAACAAAAAAUAAAAACAAAACAAGUGAGAAAUCACAAAAAAGGGUAUAUGUACGGUCGUCUACUUAACGAGCAAAAUUAAAUGAUACAGUUAUAAGUCGGUGUGAAUAAACCUCCCCCCACCCAACCCCCUGCCACACACACACACACACACACACACACACACACACUACAUACACCUGCCCCAUUAAUUGCCAUCUGAUGGAAAACUUUAAAUACAAAUAAAGCGUGUACAUACACAUGUACACAUUUACAUACAUAUAUGUACAUAUUUAUGUACAUAUGUAUGUACGCGUGUGCUUCUUUGAUACUCUUUGUUUUGUGCCAUCUCUGUGCAGUAAUAAACCGUUAUGGCAGAUUGCAUCAACCAGAAUGUUGAGCAGUGCCAACUAACGGUACUUUGGGCUAUUAUUCUGUUUAAAAUACCUUCCUUUAUGGUUUCCAUUUCCCCCCACCCACUUUCCGUUCAAAGCGAUAAGAGAGGAGCGAACGAAACAGCAAUAAAAGAACACAAGAGAAGAGACUCGGACACACGAACUGGACGAAACGGGACAACAGUAAACAGCAAAAAAAGCAAAUGCAAACAAUGUUAACAGCCAAAAAGCAAAGAGAGCGAGAGAGAUAGAGAAAGAGAGGGAAACUUAUUGAGUUUUAUUUGCAAAAGAGUGAUUUUUUGUAGUGAAAAUAUUUUAUACACACGUUACGGAUGGAUUGAUUGUAUGGAUCAGAUCGGAUCGGAUCGGAUCGGAGGAGGGGAGAACAUAGUGAAAUGUUAAUUAUUACGUAUAUGUAUAUAUUUUUUAAGACAAAUUGUUCAGAUUUAUUAUACGAGUAUGUACUAACAAAAAGCAAAGCAAAGCAAAAACAAAACAAGAAACAAACAAACAAACAAAAAACACCCAUAAAAAACAAUGUGGCCAAACAACAACAAUUCAGUGUUUGAAAAGCCAACAAACAAACAAACAAACAAACAAACAAACAAACAAACGGAAAAAGAGGUCGCAGGUGGUUAAAGAGAAAGGAGAAAGGCAAAAACGGAAGGAAGGCGAAAAGAAACCUUUACGGACAAAUUAAAACAAGUAAAACAAGUUAACAUUACAUUGUAUAAGUAGUUAGUAAUUUAAAACCAAACCCAAAAUGAAAAUAAGCUAAAAGUCACAACAAAGGAUACUAAAAGCAACAAAAAACAAAACAAAACAAAACAAAACAAAACAGUUUAUGUAUACAAACGAUUUUUUUUAUUAUUAUUAAUGUUGUUAAGUUACGAUAAAGAUAACGAAUAAUGAUACGGGCCAGAGCCACAACACACCCAUUCAUGCUCACCCACACACACAUACACCCAAAAAAUCGAGUGCAUUUUGUUAGAUGUUUAACAUAAAAGGAAAAAUGGAAAUCGAAAUCAAUUUUUAAACGCCCGAUAUCUCUUCAAGCAUAACGCAUAACGAAGAUAACGAAGAACGAGAUAUAAAUCUAAAUCUUAAUGAGAAAAUAAUGGAAAUACGCGAGGAGAUCGCAUUUCAAGUUACUAACAAACAAACACACACACAAACACACAAACACACAAUUUUUUAACCAAGCCAGAAGUGAACGGAAAGGUAUUCACGUACAUAAACUAGGCAAAUUUUCAUUGCAAGCCAGCUGAAUGUGUGGAAUAUGCAAACAUUGUUGUGGUAGGUACAGAAGGCGAGGAAACAUACACGUAAAUUAAAAUAUAAACAAAC
rnacentral:lncRNA from 1 species